rnacentral:rRNA from 1 species
GAUGAACGCUGGCGGCGUGCCUAAUACAUGCAAGUCGAGCGAACGGACGAGAAGCUUGCUUCUCUGAUGUUAGCGGCGGACGGGUGAGUAACACGUGGAUAACCUACCUAUAAGACUGGGAUAACUUCGGGAAACCGGAGCUAAUACCGGAUAAUAUUUUGAACCGCAUGGUUCAAAAGUGAAAGACGGUCUUGCUGUCACUUAUAGAUGGAUCCGCGCUGCAUUAGCUAGUUGGUAAGGUAACGGCUUACCAAGGCAACGAUGCAUAGCCGACCUGAGAGGGUGAUCGGCCACACUGGAACUGAGACACGGUCCAGACUCCUACGGGAGGCAGCAGUAGGGAAUCUUCCGCAAUGGGCGAAAGCCUGACGGAGCAACGCCGCGUGAGUGAUGAAGGUCUUCGGAUCGUAAAACUCUGUUAUUAGGGAAGAACAUAUGUGUAAGUAACUGUGCACAUCUUGACGGUACCUAAUCAGAAAGCCACGGCUAACUACGUGCCAGCAGCCGCGGUAAUACGUAGGUGGCAAGCGUUAUCCGGAAUUAUUGGGCGUAAAGCGCGCGUAGGCGGUUUUUUAGUCUGAUGUGAAAGCCCACGGCUCAACCGGUGGAGGGUCAUUGGAAACUGGAAAACUUGAGUGCAGAAGAGGAAAGUGGAAUUCCAUGUGUAGCGGUGAAAUGCGCAGAGAUAUGGAGGAACACCAGUGGCGAAGGCGACUUUCUGGUCUGUAACUGACGCUGAUGUGCGAAAGCGUGGGGAUCAAACAGGAUUAGAUACCCUGGUAGUCCACGCCGUAAACGAUGAGUGCUAAGUGUUAGGGGGUUUCCGCCCCUUAGUGCUGCAGCUAACGCAUUAAGCACUCCGCCUGGGGAGUACGACCGCAAGGUUGAAACUCAAAGGAAUUGACGGGGACCCGCACAAGCGGUGGAGCAUGUGGUUUAAUUCGAAGCAACGCGAAGAACCUUACCAAAUCUUGACAUCCUUUGACAACUCUAGAGAUAGAGCCUUCCCCUUCGGGGGACAAAGUGACAGGUGGUGCAUGGUUGUCGUCAGCUCGUGUCGUGAGAUGUUGGGUUAAGUCCCGCAACGAGCGCAACCCUUAAGCUUAGUUGCCAUCAUUAAGUUGGGCACUCUAAGUUGACUGCCGGUGACAAACCGGAGGAAGGUGGGGAUGACGUCAAAUCAUCAUGCCCCUUAUGAUUUGGGCUACACACGUGCUACAAUGGACAAUACAAAGGGCAGCGAAACCGCGAGGUCAAGCAAAUCCCAUAAAGUUGUUCUCAGUUCGGAUUGUAGUCUGCAACUCGACUACAUGAAGCUGGAAUCGCUAGUAAUCGUAGAUCAGCAUGCUACGGUGAAUACGUUCCCGGGUCU